CUAAUUGUAGGCUCCUCCCACUAAUUGAGUUGACGCACUACAGGUGUUUAAAUGUUUGUGGGAGCCUGCCAGUUUGAGUGAGAGACAUCCAACAGGGGGACAGGCUGCACUGAGGGAGGAAGGGAAAGACGAUCGCCAGAGAUGCAGAACAUUCAGGACCAGAUCACUAAGCAUUUCUGUGGUGAAACAGGAACUCCUGAAACAGUAGGUGCCAUUCCUCAAGAGCUACAAACACAUCCAGACAAGCUCCAGAGCCCAGUUCACACUGCCAGGUCCUCAGCUGGUCUCAGGAGCGCUGAUAGACAUGGCCAAACACUUGGGAAACCUGCAGUUCAGAGUCUGGGACAAGAUGCAAGGGAUCAUCAAAUAUACUCCUGUGAGUAUAUAACACUGCAAACCCCUGCCUCUCACUGUCUGAUGAUCUGAGCAGUGUGAAACACCUUACCCCAAAACAUGCAGCUCCCUGACAACCCAGAGAGGAACAGGUUUAAUGCCCAGGUUCUGGCAUCUGAGGGGUUCAGCUGGGAGGUGGUGGGGGACCACCCUCACUGGUAUAUAGGCGUGGCCGAAGAGUCAAUCCACAGGAAUGGGGAAGGAUUUACAACCUGGACUGUACAACUGAGGAAUGGUAACUGUAGAUUUCACUCCAAAGAAGACACCCCAGAGGAUCAGAGUGCAGCUGGAUUAUCAGGGGGAGGUGUCCUUCUACAACACCAAACACAUGACACAUCUACACUCAUAAAGACACGUUUACUGAGAGACUGUUCCCAUACUUCUCUAAUGGAAAGGCUGGUGAUGCCAACCACCCUGAUAUGCAAAUCUGUCAACCAGAGGUGUCUGACAGUAAAUUCAUUUUUCACGCAUCAUGUUCAAAACAUCUAUACCUGACUUUGUUGAGCUUCACAAUAAAUUGUAGAUACUUUUGAAUGAUUUGGAGAUGAUGUGUGAAAAAAUGCUAAUAUUGGUCUUAUGACUUGAAUGGGAUUUGUGCCACAAAUGCUGAAACGUUAGCAUGUGGAAAUGGUGCCAGUGAAACUAAACCAAAACAUGGAUUUGCUGUCAUACCUUGUCCAUAGACUGCUUACAGCAAAAGGAAACCAAUUUGUCAUUUUGUUAUUUGGGUGAACUAUCCCUUUAAAGAUUGAAUCAAUACAUGGGAAGCCUUUGUAUGACAGCUGUCCUGAUUUGCAUCAAACUGAUUUAUACAGACAUUAUUUAACAUAAAUCAACAUCAAACUAUAUACAGUGAGCUCCAAAAGCAUUGGGACAGUGGCACAUUUUUUGUUUUGGCUCUGUACUCCAGCAUGUUGGAUGAUACAAUGAGGUUAAAGUGCAGACUGUCAGCUUUAAUUUGAGGGUAUUUUCGUCCAUAUCGAGUGAACCGUUUAGAAAUUACAGCACUUUUUGUACAUAGUUCCCCAUUUUAGGGGACCAAAAGUAUUGGGAAUUUCACUUAUGUGUAUUAAAGUUAAGUAUUUGGUCCCAUAUUCAUAGCAUGCAAUGACUACAUCAAGCUUGUGACUCUACAAAUUUGUUGGAUGCAUUUGCUGUUUGUUUUGGUUGUGUUUCAGAUUAUUUUGGGCCCAAUAAAAAUGAAUGGUAAAUAUUGUAUUGUCACUUUUAUUGUAAAUAAGAAAGAAUAUGUUUCUAAACACGUCUACAUAAAUGUGGACGCUACCAUGAUUACGGAUAAUUUUGAAUGAAUCGUGAGUAAUGAUGAGUGGCAAAAUUAGACGCACAAAUAUCAUAACCCGAAGACAUGCUAACAUCUCAGCAUUACAAUCAGAGGUUAGCAUAUGUGGUGGUGGGGGGUAAUGAUACUGUAUUUCUGCAUCUAACUUUCUCACUCAUUAGUCACAAUUCAUUCAGAAUGAUCUGUAACCAUGGUAGCAUCCACAUUAAUGUAGAAGGUUUUAGAAACAUUAUUCUUAUUUACAAUAAAAAUGAAUCAAAUGACACAAUACAUUAUUUACCAUUCAUUUCUAACACUUUCUUUUAUUUCAUGUUAGCUUGAGACUCAUAUGGUGAGUGGAGGCUGGCUAACCACAGGGAAAAACAACUUUAUAAGAAUUUUGUUAGUUUUUCCCCAAAGUUACCCAAUUGUGUUUUUCUCUGGGUUGGAAUGGACCAUGUGGAUCAUGCAAGUUGUCAAAUAUAGUAGAGUAGGAGGUUUUCUAAACUCUCUGGUUAAGGUCACUUUGGUUAGAAAUGUGACAAUAGAAUGAAACUGUUCCAGUAUUCUAUCAAGUCAGACACAGCCCUUAGACCACAUCCUGUAACGUGUAAAGGAAGUUAUUUGACAGCAACAUGAUUUACUGUUUAACUGUUGCACACCACAAUCACCUGUAGGCUAUUCAUUGACUGUAAAGACAUAUCUACAAAAUGUUUUAUGUGAUAUUAUUUGUUUUAAAAUUGCUUCAUAUUAUAGCAUGUAUUAUAAACUGGGUGGUUAGAGCCCUGAAUGCUGAUUGGCUGACAGCUGUGGUAUAUCAGACCUUAUACCACAGGUAUGACAAAACAUUUAUUUUUACUGCUCUAAUUAUGUUGAUAACCAGUUUAUAAUAGCAAGAAGGCACCUUGGGGGUUUGUGGUGUAUGGCCAAUAUACCAAUUCUAAGAGCUGUGUCCAGGCACUCGUCUGCUUAAGAACAGCCCUUUAUAACAAAUAUUCAGAUGAAAUAUAUUGUGCUAUUUAUCACACUCUACUUUGUGUCAAAGUUUAACAAGGACUCUCUCCUCACAAGUGUCAUGAUUAAAUAUAUGAUCAAGAGCCUCACAUACAGCAUAUCGUUUGGUUAUUGUGCUGCCACAGAAUGAAUUGUGAUCAAGGCCUCAAAAAAGCUUCAGAGCUGCGAGAAAAUGUCUAUAUAUUAUUGAAACAAUGUUGCGAUUGUUUGUGAGAAUGCCAACAGGUGUGGUUCCCGUGGGGGAAAGAUUCUAUUGGGGAAAGGUUCCCGUGGGGGUUGCCAUGGAAGCCAAGAAGGGGAGUGAGGGGUGUGUGUGUGUGUGUGUGUGCGUGCUCAAACACACAUGCAUGUGGGGGGCUGGGAGAAGAAGUGUGUCCA
rnacentral:lncRNA from 1 species